rnacentral:rRNA from 1 species
AGAGUGAACGCUGGCGGUAGGCCUAACACAUGCAAGUCGAACGGCAGCACAGUAGGAGCUUGCUCUUACGGGUGGCGAGUGGCGGACGGGUGAGGAAUACAUCGGAAUCUACCUUUUGGUGGGGGAUAACGUAGGGAAACUUACGCUAAUACCGCAUACGCCCGUUCGGGGGAAAGCCGGGGACCAGCAAUGGCCUGGCGCUGAUAGAUGAGCCGAUGGUCGGAUUAGCUAGUUGGUGAGGUAAUGGCUC